rnacentral:lncRNA from 1 species
GGUCAUUUCAAAGCAGUUUGCACUUGGAUUAUUUUUUCUGUUUUAAUUUUUCUUUUAAAUUGAAACUUGAUCAUGCAUGCUUCUUUUUCAUUUGAAAAAACUCUUAUUUUGUCCACAGUGUGGUGACUUGCCCUUUAAAACUUGGAUCUUUCUCAGUGGCUUCAUGAAACAGGAUAGUACUUUAUGUCAAAGUCAAGAACAGCUUAUGAGGAAGAAAACACACUUUCCUUAUAGGGAAAAAAUUAACCCUUAUGAACCCGAACUUGUUUUCACCAUGAUAUGCACAUACCAAAUAGGUAAUGAGAGUUAACAUGUCUUAACUGAAGAGAAAACCAAAUACCGAGAAGUCCCCUAUGCCCAUUGGUAGCUUCAGGUACAAUUUAUUUUCUAAAUUCAGUAUGUAAUGUGGAUCACCCUUGCUCAGGUUUCUUCAGGCUUGACUGUAGAUUGACUGU